rnacentral:rRNA from 1 species
CCUACGGGAGGCAGCAGUGGGGAAUAUUGCGCAAUGGGCGAAAGCCUGACGCAGCGACGCCGCGUGAGGGAUGAAGGUCUUCGGAUCGUAAACCUCUGUCAGCAGGGAAGAACGGUCACUGUGCUAAUCAGCAGUGAAUUGACGGUACCUGCAAAGGAAGCACCGGCUAACUCCGGGCCAGCAGCCGCGGUAAUACGGAGGGUGCGAGCGUUAAUCGGAAUUACUGGGCGUAAAGCGCUCGUAGGCGGUAUGUCAAGUCAAGGGUGAAAUCCCCGCGCGCAACGUGGGAACUGCCUUUGAAACUGGCAAACUGGAGUGUGGGAGAGGAUAGUGGAAUUCCAGGUGUAGGAGUGAAAGCCGUAGAUAUCUGGAGGAACAUCAGUGGCGAAGGCGACUAUCUGGCACAUAAUUGACGCUGAGGAGCGAAAGCGUGGGUAGCAAACAGGAUUAGAUACCCGAGUAGUC